rnacentral:rRNA from 1 species
UGGGGAUAUUGGGCAAUGGGCGAAAGCCUGACCCAGCAACGCCGCGUGAAGGAAGAAGGCUUUCGGGUUGUAAACUUCUUUUGACAGGGAAGAGCUAGAAGACGGUACCUGUCGAAUAAGCCACGGCUAACUACGUGCC